AUGAAAAUGGCUGAUGAAAAGAUACUGCAUGAAUACAGAAUGUCAGAAUGGGGACAAAGAUGGAUCAUUUAGAUUAGACUGAUGACGUUGACUCUAUAGAUCGAGUACCAGUGAAGGAUUACGCUCAUAAUCCAAAAUCUUCCGAUGACAGUUGAGGUAGAUGUGAUGGGUAAUUUUGUUGAGCACCAUGCAGCCUCCUUUUACUGAUCCAGAUAACACAAGUCCAGACUACUGAUCCACUACAAGGUGAUACAGGAUGACAGAAUAUGCAGGAGGGAGGUCAUGAUGCAUCUUCUGCAGGAGAUGAACAUGCACCAAUUUAAAAGUGAUCGGUGAUCGGAACAAAAAGAGAGCCAAAGGAAAGAAAAUGUGUGUACAGAGGAAGGGCAGUCAAGCACAGUCAAUCCAAAACAACAGUCUUCUCUAUAAGCAGACUGGGGAAUGGAGGUAAUAAACAAGCUACCUGUUAAUGCAAAUACAAGUCUCCCACCCUUUUUGGUAAUCUGGUGUGGAGUGGUGCUCAGAAUGGGUGGUGAUGCAUGGGAGCGGUUGACAUUUGGCAUGUUGAGUUUUAUAUGCACUUGAAAAUUAAAGCAUUUGCUCAUUUCAAUUUCAAAGGUAUUCUGUUUACUCUUUAAUGAUAUGCUU